AGAUUGAACGCUGGCGGAAUGCUUUACACAUGCAAGUCGAGCGGCAGCGCGGGGCAACCUGGCGGCGAGCGGCGAACGGGUGAGUAGUGCAUCGGAACAUGUCCAUGUCGUGGGGGAUAGCCCGGCGAAAGCCGGAUUAAUACCGCAUACGCCCGAGAGGGGAAAGUGGGGGACCGCAAGGCCUCACGCGAUUGGGUUGGCCGAUGUCCGAUUAGCUAGUUGGCGGGGUAAAGGCCCACCAAGGCGAUGAUCGGUAGCUGGUCUGAGAGGAUGAUCAGCCACACUGGGACUGAGACACGGCCCAGACUCCUACGGGAGGCAGCAGUGGGGAAUUUUGGACAAUGGGGGCAACCCUGAUCCAGCCAUUCCGCGUGAGUGAAGAAGGCCUUCGGGUUGUAAAGCUCUUUUGUCCGGAACGAAAUGGCGUGCGUGAAUAUCGCGCGCUUCUGACGGUACCGGAAGAAUAAGCACCGGCUAACUACGUGCCAGCAGCCGCGGUAAUACGUAGGGUGCGAGCGUUAAUCGGAAUUACUGGGCGUAAAGCGUGCGCAGGCGGUUUUGUAAGCCAGAUGUGAAAUCCCCGGGCUUAACCUGGGAAUGGCAUUUGGGACUGCAAGGCCUGAGUGCGGCAGAGGAGACUGGAAUUCCUGGUGUAGCAGUGAAAUGCGUAGAUAUCAGGAGGAACACCGAUGGCGAAGGCAGGUCUCUGGGCUGACACUGACGCUCAUGCACGAAAGCGUGGGGAGCAAACAGGAUUAGAUACCCUGGUAGUCCACGCCCUAAACGAUGUCGACUGGUUGUUGGGGGUUUGACACUCUCAGUAACGAAGCUAACGCAUGAAGUCGACCGCCUGGGGAGUACGGCCGCAAGGUUAAACUCAAAG
rnacentral:rRNA from 1 species